rnacentral:rRNA from 1 species
UACGGAGGGUGCAAGCGUUGCUCGGAAUUAUUGGGCGUAAAGAGCGUGUAGGCGGUUUGGUAGGUCCGCUGUGAAAACUCGAGGCUCAACCUCGAGACGCCGGUGGAAACCAUCAGGCUAGAGUCCGGAAGAGGAGAGUGGAAUUCCUGGUGUAGCGGUGAAAUGCGCAGAUAUCAGGAAGAACACCCGUGGCUAAGGCGGCUCUCUAGUACGGUACUGACGCUGAGACGCGAAAGCGUGGGGAGCGAACAGG